UGAAGAUAAGGCUUCCUUUUUUAAACAAAUAGCACAGGAAUGGAAGGGUUUUGAUAAAAUAACAAAAUUAGAAAUGAGCAUAAAGGCAGAAAAAAAAAACAAACAAUCUACCAUUUUUGGACUUGAUGAUGACAGAAUUGCAAAUAGGCUGUUUAAAAAGCUGACUUCAUUGGUAAAAUAGUUCAAUUCUGCCAACAUAAAAUUUAUAGCUGCCAUUCUCCAUUUUGACCCUCUAAGCAGAGUUAACAUAUUCUGUACAAAAGAUGCUGAACAUCUAAAAAGUGACAUUCAAGAUAUUAUGUUCAAAGAUCCAUUACAAAGUUGUACGCGGUCUGUUAGGAU